CUCUCUCUCUCUGACAAAUAAAUAAAUAAAAUCUUUAAAAAAAAAAAAAAAGAACUUCUCAAAAUUACACAAAGUUUUUAAAUGAGUGGGGCACCUGGGUGGCUCAGUGGCUCAAUCAUCUGCCUUUGGCUCAGGUCAUGAUCUCAGGGUCCUGGAAUUGAGCCCCGCCUCAGAUUCCCUGGGGAGUCUGCUUCUCCCUCUCCCUCUGCACGCCCCCCCCAACCUGCCUGUGCCUUCUCUCUCUCUCUUUCUCUCAAAUAAAUAAAUAAAAUCUUUCAAAAACAUUUUUUAAAAAGUUGUUUAAGGACAGUCCUGAUAAGAGCUAUGAAUUAAGGUAUCUCUGAAAGAAUGACGGAAAUCACAGCUAAAGCUGAGGGGUUGGGUUUCUGACUGAAAUUAAAGGCUGUGAAGAGGCUUGGGAGGGAAAUGUGCCUACUGGCUCAGGGCUGAUCAGUUUGAGAGCCUGGUGGUAGGGGUGUGGCUGAACACAGGGAGAGGACUGUUUAUUUUAUUUUUUUUAAAGAUUUUAUCCAUUUAUUUGACAGAGAUCACAAGUAGGCAGAGAGGCAGGCGGUGGGGUGGGGGGGAGCAGGCCCCCCACCGAGCAGAGAUCCCAGGACCCCGAGACCAUGACCUGAGCCAAAGGCAGAGGCCCAACCCACUGAGCCACUCAGGUGCCCCAGGACUGUUCAUUUUUGUCUAGAGUGUGGCUGAGGGGUUGGGGCACUUUCUAUAGCAUGGAGUCUGAGAGACACCGGGAAACUAUGGUAUUGUUUUCAUGCUGAGGUAAACCUCAAGGGUAGGGGCCCUUGGAAGUUAGUUGUGGUGGGGACAUGGGGUCCUGAGCUGUCCUGAAGGCUUCCCAGGAGCUGAGGGCUGGUGUCACGUGGUGGGGACGGGUAACUGACCUCAACUGUGCCCACCGGAAGUUCUGUUACAAAUGAGAAGAUAAGACAGUUUUUGUGGGGAACUUGUAGAAAGACUUACUUGAUGUUUUUCAAACUGGUGAACUGUAGGAAGGAAAAUAGAGGGGAGAGGUUCAGAAAAAAGGGAGGAAUGUUGCUUUAACACAAGGUGGAUGCUUUAGUCCUUCUGCCGAAGAUUUAGAUUUCACUGGAGGGGAAGCCAUGGGCUCCAAGCCUUAAAAAGCCGUAGCCACAGUCUGUGCUCUGUGGUGCUGUGUGCAUGGGGAAGUGGGAGGGAGUCAUGGUUUGGUGACAGCCAUGUUCCCCACACACAGCGAAGUCUCGGGGUUCUGCCGUGUGAAGAAAACACCCAUUAAAAAAAAAAAAAAAGAAAUCUCCUGCCCUUUAGAGGCCAUGAAACAUCAAGGGCCUCUGGGGUGUCCACAGUGCUUUUCCGGCUUAUGCUGCUGAAUCAUAAAUUCAGUCAUUAGACCCAGAAGUUUUAAAUGGGGGCGGGGGGGCAAUGCCCAACCUACGCAACCUUCUGGGUUCAGUCUGUGUUGUGAAGUCUCCUCCAAAAACAGGAUUGAGAAAAUGUGGGUUAGGGUCCAGCCAUCUGCUUCCUGACUGGUUGUAGGUAGAUGUAGUUUGGAGGGUUCUUGAUCAUCCUUGUUGUCCACGCUGACUUGUGUUGUCCUGGCGUGUCUAUGGGGUACUGCCCUGCUCAGUACCAGUCCUGGACUAGAGGGUGUGAUUGGGGAAUGGGAUGCGUUUCUUUCUUUUCUUUUUUUUUCCUUUAAAAUUUUAUUUAUUUAUUUGACAGAUCACAAGUAGGUGGGGGUAGGGGAGGGGACGGGAGAAGCAGGCUCCCCGCUGAGCAUAGAGCCCGAUGCGGGGCUUGAUCCCAGGACCCUGAGAUCAUGACCUGAGCCCAAGGCAGAGGCUUAACCCACUGAGCCACUCAGGCAUGUCAAUGCAAGUGUGUUUCUGCGUGGAAACUGGGAUGAGUUUCUUAAUGUGGUUCAGGGAAAGCCAGGUCCCUGUGAAUCAGAAUCCAGACCCCAGCUCUGUGACCUGCAGCAAGUCGCAGAACCCCUGGGAGCUACAGUUUUCUCAUGUGGGAGGUGAACUUAGUAAGAUGUACCUUCCAGCACGGCAAGGGCAAAUGCAAGGUCGUGAAGCCCCAAACACACGUUUCCUGAGACAUGGGCAUUAGGCUGUUGUACCAUUGCCCACAAUGUUAUAGCUCCAAUUUCUAGUAACUCAAUGGCAGUGGUGCCAAGGUGCUGAUAAGAGACAUGUAGGGAAGGGUGGGGGGGAGUCCCUCUUUUCCCCUGGCUCCUCAGGACGCCAUCAUAUCUCAGGAGUGUUGUAAAGAUAACCUGGCUUUGAUAGCAGAAGUGACACGUUCUGUUAUAUUCUUGGACACAAGGUUUGUCAUAAUAAAGUGUAUAGGAGAGAGGGCUGUGACUCUGAGGUAAACUUUUCUGUGUCAUUACUAACAUUUAAAACUCAGCACACUCCAUGAGAGUUAAGGUUGAAACUCACAUUGUAUCUGGGUUUUUCAGGCAUCUGGGCCUGUUGCAUGCUAAUGAGUUUAUGAAACUCUACAGUCACCUUAUAAACUCCUGCAGUAUGAAUAGUUAGAAGUUGUCUCUGAGUGUCUAAUGUGGAUGAAUUCAAAUUUCCAUGUCCCAGAGGAAGUUAAGAAUGUCAUUGUGGAUAUGUGUUUGUAGAAAGACUUUCUUCAUAACAUCCUUUUCCCUUAUAACUUAGUGUCAUUUAAAAGCUAAAGCUGUGGUCAGGGUUCUUAUUUUUCUUGCUGUUUUUAAUGGAUGCACAGAGUAGUGGAGUGUGUGUGGGAGAGAGAUCUAGAUUUUUAAGAUUUUCAGAAUCUUCAAUGCAAGCUCCCCAUUAAUAAGUAUGAUUUUUGAGCAGGUCAUUUAUGUCUGUUUUUCUCCUUCCUCAUCUGUAAACUGGGGUAAUCAGCCUCUUAGAGCUGUCAUGAGGGUGAAGUGAAGCUUGCACACUUCAUAGCUGAUGGAGUGCCCCCUUACUAGAAGUUGUCAUCCAAGGGAUUUCCCUGUGGUUCUGUGGCACCCGGGCCACACUUUUAGGACAGGGGUGGAUCUUUGAGGGCAGAGGAAGCAGAGAACAGACAGAGAAAAUCAGCUGCACGAUCCUUUAGGCUCCUGCUGGAGUGAGAACAUGUUACUAUGUGGUCGUGGCAAGGAGGCUUCUUGAAGUACUAAAGGGUCACACUUAGAGUUCCACCUGGGUUAGCCUGUUGACCUAGGAGGGCUUCCAUAUUCUUAUCUGUGAAAUAUAAUAACAGUAAGUGUAAUAAUAUUAUUUUUAUUAUUACCAACGUACAGUUCUCGAGGACUUCUUACGUGGCAGGCAUUAUGCUAAGUGAUUUAUGAGAUUCCUUCAUUCAGCAGGUAUUUAAGGAAUUUUCCUCUGCGCGAGGCUCUGGGCCAGACCCUGGGGGACGUGGCAGAGACAGGGGGCAGGACAGAUGAAAUCCCUGCCUGCGUGGAGUUUGCAUUCUGGUGGCAAGACAGACAGUAUGUGAUUCCAGGGAGUGUCAGAGCUAUAAAGAAACCAGUCAGGUGAAAGGGCUGGCGUGUGGUAGUGGGACGAAGUGGUGUUUUUCAACACCACUUGAGAUCUCAAGGAAGAAAGGGAUGAGCCUCACCCCCAUCCGUCUGUACAGGGGCAGGUGCAAAUAAUAGCCUAGAAGCAAGAGGACUCUGCUCUUGGGGAAGGGCAAGAGGGCCCCAGGUGGAUGGAGCUGGUUGUAAGGGUGGGGCAGGAUAUGAGGUGAGGUCUGGGUGGGCACCGGCUCAUGUGGGGCCCGCAGGCCAUGGUCCAGACAGUCAUGGGAGGGCUCUAAACAGGCUCUGAACAAGGCUCUGGCCUUGUGUUUUCUACAUAGCCCUUUGGCCUGGAGCGCAGUGGUAAUUCUGGAGGGGCCAGAAUGGAAGUCCAGAGACUCCAGAGGGGGAGGCUUUUGUGAUUCCCCAGGGAUGUUGUAAGAACUAGGAUGGGACUGGUGAGAAGUGGUUGGGUGCCUGAUACGGUCUGAAGGUGGAGCCAUCAGGACUCGCUAAUGGAUUGGAGCCAAUAUUCCAGAGGUAGAGGAGCCAUGGAUGACAUCCACACUUUUGGCCCCAGCAACUGCAUGAAGGGGGUGGCGCCAUUUAUUGAUGUGGGGAACCCAGAGGGGCCAAGGGGGGAUGACAUAACUCUCACAGUAGCCUCUGAAAGUAAUAGUAUUAUGAUUCCCCUUUCACAGAUAGGGCAACUGACGCUGAGAGGAGUGAAGAGUUUGCCUUGAAAUGAAGGAAGCUGGGUCCGGAUUGGGAUCCGGGUGUGAUCCUUGACCUGCUCGCAUCCUCUACCAUUUCUGCUCUACUCUAUAAAAUAUCCGAAUUCGCUAUAAUCAUGGAGUGGUAUGAAAAUGCCUGUGCGAACACUUUGGAAACAUAUAUCUUGUUUAUGUCAAGGUGGCUUUAUUGAGGUAUAAUUUAUAUCCCUACAACUCUCCCGUUUAGCGUGCGGCUCUGUAGUCUUCAGUAGGUUCAUGCAGUUGAACGACCAUCACCCCAGUCCUGUUGGGGAUUUUGCGGCCGAUUCCUGUUCCCAUCCCCAGUCUUAGGCAACUACUCACCUUUCUUCUGUUUCUAGAAGAAGCAGCUUUUUCUAGAAAUUUCAUCCACUGAGAAUCCUACAAGUUGUGGCCUCUGGUGUCUGGCUUUGUUUGUUUUCACAGAACGUGUUUGCAGCUUACCUCCUCUCCUGCCAUGCGUCUGCUUUUGAGGAAUGUGUUUUUCCUUUUGUCAGAGAGAAGUGCUCUGUCCUGAUGACAAUGGUUUCCACCGAGAUUAUCAAGUAGCUUGGUAGGAGCUGGUUGUGUAAUUUCAGCCAUCAUGAGUGAUAGCCUCUUUGGAAUCAGGACUAACAGAACACCAAGAUUCUGCCCUUGGUUUCUCAUGAGACACUUUACUGGCGUUGCAACUUCCUGUCUUUCUGAAACGGAAUUAUGGCAUCAUUAAAGUAACUCU